GGGGCGUAGUGUAUCGGCUGCACUACGGUCUUUGACACCGUCAGACCUGGUUCGAAUCCAGGCGCCCCUG
rnacentral:tRNA from 1 species